rnacentral:lncRNA from 1 species
CAGGCACCACACCCAGUGGAGAAGGAUGUGAACCAGAGAGUUGGCUGAAGCACAUCCUGCUUCCUACUAACCAGCCUACUAAACAAGAGCAAAGAUUAACAGGGCCGUGUUUCAGGAAGAAUGUCUGUGCUUUGAAGGGUGCAAAGAGCAACAAGCCCCGCCCAGGAGGACUGCUCCCUGAGAGCUCCACCAGCUUUCCUGGGGCAGAUGCACAUCCAGCCUGAUGACCAAUGUUCUCUGCUCCACACCGGCAUUUCAGUCCUGGGCUGUUGGUUACCUGUUCACAUCUUCCCUUCCAUCUGGAUGUAUGAACUUCUAAAGAGUAGAGACACUGUCUUCUGGAGCAGAGGGGGCAGGAGCAUUAUUAGUAUGAAGAAUUGGCUGCUCUCCAUUUGCGCCUCCAGAUCCCCCCUCCACCCUUCUCUGCUGGGCUCUGUGUCCUGGGAGGCUGAACUCCAUGAACUCCAUCAACAAGUCUUCCUCGAUAUCUGGCUUCCAGAUGGUCAAAGCCAAUGGGAAGUGCUAACAGAUCAGAAGAAUCUUAACAGACAGACUUGGGAAUCUGAAGCGCUGGGUUCCAGGCCCGGCACUGUGGCAGCUGACUGAGUGCCUCUGGGUUUGUCUUUUCCUCUGGACAAUGGAUGACUUGACUAAGUGUCU